AGCUGAUAGAUACCGGCGUAAAGAGUGGUUAAUAAACAGUAAAACUAAAGCUAAAUACCUUCAAAGCUGUUAUACACAACCGAAGAAAAGAGAAACCCCUACGAAAGUGGCUUUAAAACCAUGAACCCACGAAAACUAGGACACAAACUGGGAUUAGAUACCCCACUAUGCCUAGCCCUAAACAAAAAUGACACCCUUACACCUGUCACUCGCCCGGGGACUACAAGCACUAGCUCAAAACCCAAAGGACUUGGCGGUGCUUUAGAACCACCUAGAGGAGCCUGUUCUACAACCGAUAAUCCCCGUUUAACCUCACCCUUUCUAGCCACUACCGUUUAUAUACCGCCGUCGUCAGCUUACCCUAUAAGGGCCCCAUAGUAAGCAAGACUGGUAAAACCCAAUACGUCAGGUCGAGGUGUAGCACACGAAGGGGGAAGAAAUGGGCUACACUCCCUGGCACAGGAAAUACAAACAAUAAUUUGAAAUAAUUAUCUAAAGGUGGAUUUAGCAGUAAGAGAGAAAUAGAGAACUCCCCUGAAACCGGCCCUGAAGCGCGCACACACCGCCCGUCACUCUCCCCAAGCCCGCACCAAACCCCAACAUAUAAAAAUACCUACCGCAAAGGGGAGACAAGUCGUAACAUGGUAAGUGUACCGGAAGGUGUACUUGGAAAAACC
rnacentral:rRNA from 1 species